CUAUAUUCUUUUUCUUCUCUCUCCCAAGCCUACGUACACUCAUCCAACACUGUGACCCAUAUAGAGGUCUUUUAUGUCUGAAUCUGUCCUAUUGUGAAUCCGUAAUUUUUUACUAUGCAGAAGAAUUUUUGUUUUGCAGUUUUAAAUCACUAAGCAUUUAAAAAUCUAAGCUGUAACGUUCUUGGUCAAAAACAGGUACUGCCUGUUUGCCCCACCCAGCCCAACAUGGCAGAGCCGCUGGUGCCUCUGAGCCUUGUGCAUUGCACUGCUAGCAUGGCGGAGCUGCUUGUGCCUCUGGGCCACGGCACACAAUGACCCCCUUUGAGGCACACAGCGAGUCUAGUUGCCAUCAAACAAAUCAUAGCACUUUACUCCAAAGGGUCCAUUCAAAAGCUCUGUCUCCUGCAGGAGCCAGACAGAGAUUGCAGUGGCGGCACAGCCCAGAAACUGGUAUUUCAAAACCGCCACUUUCUAGUAAAGGAAAGCCGAGGAAGCUGUGUUUUAAAAUAACACGGCUUUUUUUCUGCCAGUAUUGCUGAAUCAGGAAAUCUCUCUACGGCACGUCCUAGCAAACAGCAAAAAGGACAAAUGUGAAUAAACCCAGGAUUUCUUGGGGCAGGUGCCAGGGAGUAGCCCAUUGGCAGCUAGAGUCUCUGGCCUACCAGGAAACAAGUCCUGGCCAAAUCACUCCUCUUGUUGUACCAUCACCUUGUAAAGGAAAUUUACCCAACCCAACGAGAAAUCCAACCAGCCUUCAGAGACUCUUCAGCUGUCCAUCGGGAACCCUGCUAAUUCUCGGGGAAUUCAGUCUGGAAAUAAAUGGGCCACCUUGUAUGUA